rnacentral:rRNA from 1 species
CCUACGGGAGGCUGCAGUGGGGAAUAUUGCACAAUGGGGGAAACCCUGAUGCAGCGACGCCGCGUGAGUGAAGAAGUCCUUCGGUACGUAAAGCUCUGUCUUCAGGGAAGAAAAUGACGGUACCUGAGGAAGAAGCCACGGCUAACUACGUGCCAGCAGCCGCGGUAAUACGUAGGGGGCGAGCGUUGUCCGGAUUUACUGGGCGUAAAGGGAGCGUAGACGGACGUUUAAGUGAGGUGUGAAAUGCUGGGGCUCAACUGCGGUACUGCAUUUGAAACUGGAAGACUAGAGUGCAGGAGAGGAGAGUGGAAUUCCUAGUGUAGCGGUGAAAUGCGUAGAGAUUAGGAAGAACACCAGUGGCGAAGGCGAUUUACUGGACUGUAACUGACGCUGAGGCUCGAAAGCGUGGGGAGCAAACAGGAUUAGAUACCCCGGUAGUC